UGGGUAGUCCGCACGAGCGCACCUUGAUCCUUAGUUGCCAGCAUUCAGUGGGGCACUCUAUGGAGACUGCCGGUGACAAACCGGAGGAAGGUGGGGACGACAUCUAGUCAUCAUGGGCCUUACGUGUACGGCUACACACGUGCUACAAUGGGAUUUACAGAGGGAAGCGAGACAGUGAUGUGGAGCGGACCCCUUAAAGAAUGUCGUAGUCCGGAUUGGAGUCUGCAACUCGACUCCAUGAAGUCGGAAUCGCUAGUAAUCGCAGGUCAGAAUACUGCGGUGAAUACGUUCCCGGGCCUUGUACACACCGCCCGUCACACCAUGGGAGUGGGAUGCAAAAGAAGUAGUUAGUCUAACCUUCGGGAGGACGAUUACCACUUUGUGUUUCAUGACUGGGGUGAAGUCGUAACAAGGUAACCCUACGGGAACCUGGGGUCGGAUCACCUCCUUACC
rnacentral:rRNA from 1 species